rnacentral:lncRNA from 1 species
AUUGAUGGGGUAUGAGGUAAAUUUUUGUAAAACAAGUUAUUGUACAUAAGUAGAUUGAUAGUCAUAAGAAUAUAAAUACAACUCAAAAGGAUUACAAAAAUGCAAAAGGUCUAUAAAAAGUUCUAUCUACUGUGUCUCGAGCUCAUAGUUGAAUAAUGUCCUAUUGUAGGGGUGCCUUUAUGAAACUCACUUCUACGAUGGCAUCAUCGACCAUAGUUGCGAU